UACGGAGGGAGCGAGCGUUGUCCGAAGUUACUGGGCGUAAAGCGCGCGUAGGCGGGAAAUUAGGUGAGAAGUGAAAGGCUGGGGCUUAACCCCAUGCAGUGCUCCUCAUACUGGUUUUCUUGAGGGUGGUAGAGAGAAGUGGAAUGGCUGGUGUAGCGGUGAAAUGCGUAGAUAUCAGUCGGAACACCAGUGGCGAAGGCGGCUUCUUGGGCCAUUACUGACGCUGAGGCGCGAAAGCCAGGGGAGCGAACGGG
rnacentral:rRNA from 1 species